ensembl:lncRNA
AUCAGCCCCUCCGGCACCCGGUUGGGAUCUACAGCCCGGAGCAUCCGAUUGGUUAGAGCCUGGCUAACGCUCUGGAAAAAAAGAGAAACGUAAUUUUUUUUUACUGUAACCGGAAUACGAGGCGUGUAGGAAUCGACAGCUUUCGACAGUAAACAAAAACAAACAAACAGCCUGUGCUUAAUGUGCCUGGAGACGCCGUCACGUGUCAUCUGUGACGCGUCAAUCAAGAGCCGACGCGUCAACGCCGCACGACCAGGAGGGACGACGCCGCCUCGUCCAGUCGGCACUCGAGCAGCUUUGAAUAGAUGUUUAUGCCAUGAUUAUAAUUCACCCACCUCCUGAGCAGCACUUUACGGCCCCGGAAUCCCAGAGGAAGAAAAGCGUCGGUGUCACGACGGUCAGGAGGCGUUUCAGUCAAACGAAGAAACAAAAAGAACCGCGUCAGCGCUUUCUGCCGGGGAGCGAGAGGCCGUUAGCCUCCCUCUCAGGAGGGGAGACGGGCGUUUAAUGGGACUACUCUUCCACUCCAUUUGGCGGCGGCGGCGGCGCGUCGCACGGGCCACAGCUGCAUUGUUGAGCCAGCGACUGUCACUCUGCAUACCUCUCUGCGGCCCGCCAGCCUCCACGCCGCCUUCGGCAGCUGACACAAGUCGUUCAUCUUCAGACGCACGCAGACAGACUGCAGACCGAUCGUGCACGGAGGACGCUCGCUGCCUUAAAAAGAACUUAUCUUUCCAACUCCUGGUGCAGGCAACUGCGAAAAAGAUCAUUCAAACUGAUUGGGACUGAUAAUAUGCUAGAGGAACAUCAAGUGUGUCCCAAUGCAUAUUAAGUGAAAUGCAAUAUCUAAUACCAGAUCGUCCCACUGCAUUUGGUUUCAUUUUGAAGUACACAAACCGCUAUUCAGUAUAUUAUAAGGUGAUGCAGGAAUGGCAGUGACAUCGUCUGGGACAAACUCGAAAAAGGUUGCAACAGGUUGGGAUUUAAAAAAAAAAAAAAAAGGUUUGGGAAACAGUGCUCUGAAAAAGUUCUUAUAAAAUGACUUUGGAUCUAUUUCAGAGCCAAACAACAAUUUCAUGGCUGGCCAGUCAGAGAGUAAUUACAUACGGCCCCCGAGCCGGCACAUCGAUCAGUACUCGGGACUUAAAAAGAAGACUUUUUCCUGACAGACAGCUUCUUGAAGAGAUGACAGCACCUCCACCGCACACAUUGUGAAAAUCCACAAUGAAAAUGUACGAGGGCAACAUCUUUUUUCUGAUGAGAUUUAUCUACAUAAAUGAGUUAUUCUGCAGAACGAAGUCCCCCAGAAAGAUGCAGCACUGUUAAGUAGGUUUAGAGAAGGUCAAUUUAUUAGGUCAAUUAUUUUCUCUUGCUCCUCUAUUAAUUGGGUAAAAUCGUAAAUAAAAGAAUGUCUUGCCCAUCACGUCUUUUCUUUGAUGACCUCGAGUAAGUUGAAGAAAAGAGGAGACAUUAAAAAGGGCAGAACCAAGAGCGAGGACGCACUCAUUUUGUCUUUUUUGCAACCAAAAGUGACACACAAACACUGAAUAAGACAUUUUCAGGCAUGUAUUCACAUGAAGUGAAAACUGUGUGUGAAAUGGUUGAGGUUGUACGUCAUGUUGACCUGUCAACCACUGUGUCGCCGCGCCCUAAAGCGUAG